CAAAGAAGCCAUGCAGUGUCUAAUGGCAUCUAUUUCUCUCUCCUCCUCUUCUUUGGGUCGAGGCUAAAGUCAAGUUGCAGCUGGGAAUGACAUUAUACCAUCACACGAAUAACCUCCUGGAGGCCAGAGAACUAUCAGAACAAGCUAGAGUCAUUGGCUCAGAUCAUUGAGGCUGGUAAAAGAGUUAUAAAUGAUCCUACACAUCUUGCUGAUUUUGGAGCUGCACUGACCAGUGGAGAAUCACAUCAAAUUCAAGCAGUUCUUGAAUGUCCAGACGUAA